rnacentral:rRNA from 1 species
AUACACGGCUGUAUCACGUUGAAGACGCUGAUUCUCGUCCGAUCACCGAAGUUAAGCAACGUAAAGCCUAGUGGGUACUUAGAUGGGUGACCGCUUGGGAAAACUAGGUGCUGUAAGCG